rnacentral:tRNA from 1 species
UACAAAAUAAGCUAAAUAUAAGCUGUUGGGUUCAUACCCCAAAAAUGAGAAAACUCUUUUGUAA